rnacentral:misc_RNA from 1 species
GUUGCAUAGCGUGGCUUGACAAGCAAAAACCUGCAUCAGUGGCAUAUGUUAGCUUUGGCUCCGUGGCAACACCACCACCCAAGGAACUUGUGGCCCUAGCUGAAGCAUUAGAAGCUAGCAAGGUAGCUUUCUUAUGGUCACUCAAGGACAGUUCACACCUGCCAAAAGGUUUCUUGGAUAGAACAAAAUCGCAUGGAAUUGUGCUACCGUGGGCUCCCCAAGUUGAAAUC